UACGAAGGGGGCUAGCGUUGCUCGGAAUCACUGGGCGUAAAGCGCACGUAGGCGGAUUGCUAAGUCAGGGGUGAAAUCCUGGAGCUCAACUCCAGAACUGCCUUUGAUACUGGCGAUCUCGAGUCCGGGAGAGGUGAGUGGAACUGCGAGUGUAGAGGUGAAAUUCGUAGAUAUUCGCAAGAACACCAGUGGCGAAGGCGGCUCACUGGCCCGGUACUGACGCUGAGGUGCGAAAGCGUGGGGAGCAAACGGG
rnacentral:rRNA from 1 species